GAUGUUGUCAGGUCGGUGAACAGACCAAGUCAAUCCUUCUUUCUUUGCCACUUCCUGGAACAGAAUAUCCUCCAGAGUGUAGUAAAAGUUGGGGAAUUCCAAUCUAGGCAGAUCCUCAGUGAAGGGCGGAUCAUGGGCUUCAAUCUUGCCGAAGAACUGGAAGGGCCCAACGUAGUGUUUGGUGCCGGUUUGGAGGCAGAUGUGGCGGAGAUUGUGAGCAUUAAGGAUAACAGCCUCGAGAACAUUGCGGAACAUUAGGCCGUUUAUCUUGCAGUUCUCAGACUCCGUCUCUCGAUUGGCCCAGGUAACAUAAAAGAUGUGAGUAACAUCCGUCAGCAGUGAGAGCUUUGACUGUGUUUGGUUCCUGUCAGAAAUGUCACACUGGAUGUACUCCACUGGGUUGUCUUCAUUCCAGUUAGGCCGCUUACCUCGAGCAACACCAUAGACUUUCCAUGGACCGCCAGGGGUGUCCGCAAGUGGGAGAAUCUCAGCCAAACUGUUGCCAACUAUUCCUGUUACACCCACCACCAGCGCCACACUCUUGUAGUCCCGUGAUGCCUCGUCAUCGUCAUAAAAUUUUUUCUGCAAAAAUUAACACCCCAACACCAUUCAGAUGCUACAUACGUUAACAGAAUCAUACAUAUUUUCAAGUAAAAUAAAUUUAACAGGGGCAAAAGAUAUCGGAGUUGUGUUUCAAUUACCCGGUUAUUGCCAAGGGCACCAGCCCACCAGCAGCUCAUUUUGUUAUCGGAUAAUCGAUAAAGAGACGGAAAAUUCUAGUUAGUGAAAUAUCAAGGAGGCUAGCUGUUGUGAUUUAUAAGAGAGUUCUGAAGAAAAAAGAGCGGGCAGAUGACAUGAGCACUGACGUGUAUCUAGUUGCGUUUAUGAAUUGUGGAAUAGUCUGGACAUGAGAAUAGUUUGGCUGCUGAAAUGAAUACAGUGUCUUGCGUGAUUGUGUAGCUGACGGCUGUGAGGCGAUGGCAAAGAGGCACCGUUGUGAAAUUAAUCGGUUUCAGUAAUGAAACACAAAGUCACUUAUAAUUAUCUCUCUGUAAGCAGGAAAAAAAAGAAAUAGUUCUCAGGAGAAAGGUAUGAAACCCAUAGUUGUAUGACCUUGUUCGGGGUUUGACCCGUAAAAUGAAUCGAGUCAAUAAUUAUCCAGAUUAGUUAUUUGAUUUAGUUGAGUUUGGUUAAGUCAAUUUAAUCGCAAAUCAAUUUACUAGAUUUUUCUAAUUUAAUUAAAUUAAUAUUAAAAUUUAUUUAAAUAAAAAUUUGAGUUAGGUUGACACCAUUUUACUAUGUACCAUUUGAUGGGGGAUCGAAACUUGGAAGCGUUAAAGUGAUGGAAUUUAUCUCUUGUCCACCGCUCUACAUGUAUUUAUGUUCGUCAUUUUAUAUUUUUUGGGUUGGAUAUCAAUACAUGCACAGCUAAAUGUUAACAGGUCAAGGGGGAUUUUGAUCUAGCCCCAUCUCGAGAUUUAGGUUUCGAUCUUCAAGCAAAAUAAAACAAGAAAACACCCAUUAAAAAUUAGCAAUAAUAUCUUUUACUUGUUGGGCCUUUGAUCACUUCGGCGAAGAGCUCGAGAACACAGUCGUCGGCCGACCUCCAAGGAUUUUCUAGUUUAUUUUUUUUUAUUAUUAUUACUGAUAAUUAAGAUAUUUUUUUCUUGGUUGCAUGGCAAAAUUGUACAGAAUCACCUCAAUUAUUGGUUAAUACUAAAUUAAUAUUUGAAAUUAUUGAUCGAAACGCCAUUAAUCUUUCUGUUAAGUCUACUAUCUUUUCGUCCAUUAAUUACCAUAUUUUGUGGUGGUUCUUGCUAAAUUUGCAAACAGAGAAACAGAUUGACCGUGGUUCUUGCUGGAAUCGCAGAGAAAAAGAGAGAGAGAGAAGGGUAAAAUAUCAAUUUUGACGGGUUUUUGUUUGUUGGAAAGGAUUUUUUUAAUCUCCCAACGUUGCUAACACGUGACAUUUUUCUGUUAACAAUUUCACUGAAUCCUGUUUUGAUUUAAGGAUAGAUUAAAUUAAAUAAAAUAGUUUUUCCAGGAAAUAUUAACAUAAGAGCUUCAAUUUAAAAAUCAAUGGUACUUUUACUAAUAAUUAAGAAAUGCUCACGUGUUUAAAGUGGAUCUCGAAUUGUGAUUCAAAAGAACACAUAAAGGGAAAAGAAAAGCAGGUGGGCAUUGAUAUCGGUUCAUAAAAGGAAAAGCGGGGCACCUUGGCAUUAGGAGAUUUCGUGGAUGUUUUCGAAACAUCCAACCCAACAGCAGCAAAUUGUUUUUAUAUAUAUUAGAUGUCUGGUCCACUCAUGUCUCAAUCAAAUAUUUAUAUAACUUAAUCCUAAAAGCUAACUUAGACGUGUUUGAUUCUUGAAAAUCGAUUCUUGAAAAAUUAUUUUUUAAAAUUUUUAUAUGUUAAAAUUAAUUAAUAAAAAAUAUUUUUCGAUCAAUAAAAAAUAUUUUUCAGUUAUAAAAAAUUUUAUUUGGUUUUUAGAAUUUUUUUUUAUUUUAAAUAAAAAAUAUUUUUUAUAUAUAAUUUUAAUUAGCUAGUGUGAUGCCUUGGGAGCAAAAAUUCAAGAUUUUUAGUAGUUCUACGGAGAUAUGCUAUAUAUCGAGGUCAGAUUCUGUGAAUAUUCUAGUGGGAUAGUGAUAGCUUAAAAAAAACUCUGUUGACGUUAAACCAGUAAAAUAACUAAAGGAAGAUAAAAUAUUCGAUUUGACUAUUGAAUUCAGGUCAAAUUUUUAUAGGAAAUUUUUUAAGUUCACAGAGGAUCACUUUUCUUUUUUUAGUUUAACGUGAUGUUUGGAUCAGCUUGCGUAUAUCUCGAUUAAUUUUAUGGGUCCUAAAAUUAACGACUAUGUAAACCUCCAGUGGCCAUCAUAUAAGCAAACACAGGGCUUGAAUCUGAGAUCACAGAGGGAGCAAACCUAUUGGUCCCAAGAUCUUACCACUAGCCACCACCUAGAUGGUUGAGGAUCACUUUUCUAGUCCAUCUGUUACAUGAAUUUUUUUAAAUCAGGUUACAAAGAUUUUGUUUAAUUUAAUUCUGUUAGUUUUUUAUUAUUGUUAUGAAAUCUAGGAUUUAUUUUAGGAUUUAAUUUUUUUAUCUUGUUAAUGUCGAUUUCAAAUAUAUAAAAAAUUAUAAAUAUCAUAUAAAGAUAGAAUUUAUCAUAUUAAUAUUUUUAAAAAAUUCUUUGUGUUUAAAUUAACCAUGUUUCAGCCAAUUUUCUGUUUUUUAUGUUUGUAUCAUAUUGACAAAAAUGGGUGAAAAAAAAUCCCUUUUCUAUAUAGUUUAAAGUAUAGAAAAUUACUAAAAAAUUAUCAUAAAAAAAUUUUAUUUUUAUUUAACCAUUCGAAAAUAUUUUGUCUUAAUUGUUUCCAUUUCAUCAAGGGAUUUUGAAGUUUUAUAAUUGUAAAGAAAGAUUGACUGAUAGUUUGGAAAAAUUAUAUAGUUAUUAAGAAUUUAUGUUCUUACAAACAAACAUGUAAAAGAGAUUAAUAGAAUUUUUAAAUUUCUUGAAAUGGGAUAAUGGAUAAAAUCGGUUAUUAAUUUCUCGAUUUUUUCUUUAUAUUAAAAUUAAAAGGCUGAGGUUCCUAAUAGUUUAUAUAAAAUAACAUCUUGACAACUUAAAAUCAUUUUUUUUAAUGAUCAGAUAUAUUCACACUAAUUUAUAUAUUAAUAAGAAAAAAUAAAUUAUUUUUAAAAUAAUUUUUAAAAUGUAUUGUUCAUAUUAAACUAAUAUACUAAAAUAAAUAAACUUUUCUACCCUGGAAAACAAGAAAAAUAGCAAUCCUUCUUAACCAACGCAUCUAAACCACUACACACAAAUGAUCAUGAGCAGCAAAGAAACAUGCAUCAAUCUUGCCAAGAUGAAACACACAUUGUCGAUAUAAUCUUAAAUGCUGAUACAAAUUAAAAUCGGGUGAAAUUUGAUGUGAGCAAUCCAACCUCUCCAUCAUCCUCUUAUUUUUCGACUCUAGCUUACAGCAAGUUACCAACAUGAAGCAGCUAAUACAAGCAAAAUGGAAAACAAACUACUUCAAUUAGGGAUUAUCUUCUGGGAUCUCAUCUUACCAAUCCAGUGCACAAAUGAUUUGGUGGAAUUCCUAAACCCCAAGAAUCCAUGUUCCUUGCUCUUAUUCAUGCAAGAUAUAAAGGCAUCACCACUAAGCAUGGUGUCCACAAACCACCAGCCCCCAACCUCCUCUAACUUCGUAGGAGACAACUGGUUCUUCUUCACGAUCUCCUCCCACACUGGCCCUUUAUCUUUCAUCCUCUCAGCCAAGGUCUCUCUUUCCCCCCCCUCUUCGAACCCGUACUUUUCUAUCCCGAACUGCUCGGCCAGAACUUUCCAUAAAUGCUUCCACUUGAAGUAAUCUGCGUUGUGGAUAUUGAACGCUUGGUUUUGAGCAUUAGGCUCCACACAUGCCCAGAUCUCCUGCUCUGCCACCAGAUCGGCAUCUGAUGCGAUCGCGUAACAGUUCCACGCCUCUUUAGUACCUGGAAACAUCAACGGAGCUCCCUCGUGCUUGCAUAUAGCAGCAUAAACAGAAAGAGUUACAAUUAUAUUCAUCAAGCUAUAGGGCGAGAAGCCAAAUAUGAUAUCAGGACGGUGAACAGACCAAGUCACUCCCUCUUUCUUUGCCACUUCCUCGAACAUAACAUCUUCCAAAGUGUAGUAAAAAUUGUCUACCUUUAAUCUCGGCAGAUCCUCCGAGUAAGGAGGAUCAUGAGAUUCAAAAUUAUAAAAUGACUCGAAAGGGCCAAUGUAGUUCUUGGUUCCGGUUUGGAGGCAGACGUGGCGGAGAUUAGUGGCGAUGGGGACAACAGCCUGAAGAAGGUUUCGGAACAUGAGGCCGUUGAUCUUGCAGUUCUCUGCUUCGUUGGAUCGGCUGGCCCAGGUGACAUAAAAAAUGUGAGUAACAUCAGUGAGAUGAGAAAGCUUUGAUUUUGCUAGCGCCGAGUCUGAGAUGUCACACUGGAUGUACUCAACUGGGCAGUUCUCAUGCCAGUUUGGACGAGGACGACGGGCCACUCCAUAAACUUUCCAUGGACCGCCUGGUGUGUCGGAGCGUGGGAGGAUUUCUGCCAAGCUGUUGCCGACAAUUCCCGUUACUCCUACUAUCAAGGCCACGCUUCCUUGGCCCCCUUGAACUGCCGGUUUCUUCUGCAAAAUGAGCCAUGACAGGAGAAACAAAUGAGAUCACAAAAAUUAUAAUACUUAAUCAAGUAUGUGUGUGUGUAUAUAUAUCUAAUUAAAUAUGAUCUUUUUUACCCAGGCAGCGCUAAGAUCACCAGCCCACCACCAGCUCAUUUCGUUAUAGAAGAUUGUAGCAGAGGAAGAUAGGAAAGAUGGGUGGUGGGAGUGUAAAAGCAACACUACUGCUGAUAACUUGUCGCAUUAAUGUGGGGCGGUGAUAGGCCCAUUCGCGAUGAGUCUCGAACUUACCAAAUGCCCUUACGAAAUAAAGUCUGAAUCAUGGAGUCAGGACAUCAAUUAUUUUUUAAAUUAGUUAAAUUUGUACCGAUUUCAGUGACGUGAAUUAAGUUUUAAUAUUUUAUUUAUUUUAAUUACAUAUUCAAUUAGAACAAUCUUCAUGUCAUUAAUCGACAACCUCGUGGUAGAAAUAGAAAUAGAAUUCUCGAGACAAACUAAAUGCUGAGAUGAAUUUGACAAGUAGUUAGGUUUAAUAUCGCUGAACUCAUCUCAAUGAUAAGCUUAAAUAUACAUAGAUGAAGUGAUUUGUCAUUUUCAAUAUUUUCAAAUUAAGCCAAGUAUAAAGCUCUAGUUAAUAUAUAUUUUGUGAGCUACCAGACCUAAUAUUAUUGAACUCAGCUAGAAACUGGGCCAACACAUAAAUAAAUUUGAUGAGCUGUUAUACCUAUUACUCUCAAAUUUAGCUAAGCAUUGAGCCUAAAUACAUGCAUUUAUAAAAAUCUUGUCAUGCUUCAUUUUGAAUCAGAGAUAUUUUUUCUUGGACAAUUUAUCUCAAAAUUACAUAUUUAUUUUCAGAGUCUUUCUCUAAAAUAUCAUUAUUUUUUCUUUAAAAAAUUUACUCACUUACUCAUCAGAAAGUCUUCAAAUCCAUAAAAAAAAGAUCUUUACAGGUAUUAGGCACCAACUACUAGCUACCUUGGUUAAGAAGAAUAUAUUAGAUUGCCAAAAAUAAAAGAUUAGUCUAUUAUCGAAUAUAUAAACCUUGUUCUCAAACAACUUUAAUUUUUUGAGACAUCAUCAACUAUAAAAAUAAAAAUUUUAAGAAUGUAAUAAAUCAGAACUCUUGAAAUCAAAAAAGAAGAAAUUCUUUUUUACCAACUUUUAGCAAAUCCAAAACUACCAUAUUUUAUUAAAAUUAAUCACAAAUAUAUUGUCUUGACACUUAGAACAUUAACCGCAACUCUAAACAAGAUUUAAACAAUAAAAACAAUAUUUUUAUGUAUUAAAAAAAAUAAAACUAGAAAACAUCAUAACAUUAAAACAAGUUCAAAAACAUCAAAAGAGGUUUAAAAUUAGUUAUAUAAACUCCUCCCUUUAGUUUUUACAUGGUUAUAUCUUCUCCAAACUUACUGAUUAUAGGUUGUUGUUUUUUCUUCUCUUUUCCUUUCUUAUUUCCCUUUCACUCUCUUUCUUUUCAAAACUUGUUAGACCUUCUAUGUUAAGAUCUUGAACCUUUUUAAUAGGAUAUAUUAAUAGAGUAUUUCCCCACAUUUUCCUCUCUCUUUGUUUCUCUUUUUUUCCUUCUGAUUUCCGGAGAGUAUUUAUAGGGUUUUUUCUAGGUUUUUGAGUAGAUUCCCUCAAAUAUUGAUCAAAUCUUAGCCCUUUAAUCAAAGUGAGGGUUCUAGACAAAAGCUAAUAGCUAGAAGCUUUUGUACUAUGCUGAUUUUGCAUCAGUGGUUUUGAUUUUAGGAAUACUUGAUGGUUUUGUUAGAUUUGACGGUUAAGGAGCUAUUUCUGAAUCAAACCGUGCUCCAUUUGAAAGUCUGUAGCUUCACAUUUAUUUAUUCAAAAGUGUCAACUUAAUCAGUCCAGAAUUUAAAAAUACAAGGAAAGAUGAUUGGGGAUAAGAUGUUGGAAACUUUUGUGGAAGAAUUGGGGUGUAAACAUCCAAUUUUAUAGGCAUGUGGGUUAUAGAGAGGGUGUUUCUCAAUUAAAUGAUGGUGGUUACAACCUUUGAGGUAGUUGGAAAUGCCACAUUCAUUCACCUAAAGAUGUCUACUCAACCAGUCAAGACUGCUAAAAAAAAAAGAUGAAUAGAGGAUGAAUGACAUGUCAUCUAGGUUAAACUCUAGAAAUUUGGGUUCUUUAUUUGGGUUUUGGCAAAGUUUAAUUUAAUCAAUGCUCUUCCAAUUCCUUUUAAUUACAACCAGAAUUAUCUUCUAAAUUUUAAUUGCAUACAAUUAUAUCCCUACUAAAUUUAAAUAUCAGCCUCAAAGUUCAACGUCUUUUACAAACAAGUCUUGGUUUUUAAUUUGUUCAAUUUCAUCUAUAAUUAACCAUUAAAAUUUUAAUUUCUUUCAAUUUGACCUCUAAUUUCAUCAAUUUCUACCCAUGAAAUUGAAUGCCACCUACAAGUCGAUCCUUGCUCUUGGGAAUCUUCAAUUAAGUUCUUAAUUGACCUCCAAACUCUAAUAUUAUCACAAUUAAACCUCUUAUUUGACUAAUUAAACUUUUCAAAGUUCAAUUUCAGUUUUUAAACUUUAAUUUCUUCUAAUUAACACUGAAAUUGACUCAAAAACUGUUUUUCCUUGUAAUUAAGUCUUCAAUAAAAUUAAUUAAGCCUUAUAAAUUUCUUAUUAAGUCCUUAACCCUUCAAAUUUAUAUUUCUCUACUCUAAAUAAAAAUAUUUCCAUCCAAAUUGAUCCGAGUUUUGUGGUUUCACCACCGCAAUGACGUGAGAAAGCAUUGGAUGGUUUGAUGUAGAGGUAAUCAAAGAAGAUUUGCUAUUAGGAUUCAAUGAUUUGGUAAAAAUUAAUCCAUCUUAUUUGAAGAUAAUUAAGGGUUAUACAUGCCCAUGUAGCGAGUAGUUGGAGCAAAAGAGUCAUUUGCAAACUGGUAAGAAAAAUGAAGCCCAACAAGAAAUAAUUAAUACAUAGUGUGGAAGAUUCAUUGAAUUCACAGGUCUUUGUCAAAGAAAAGCAGACAGUAGAGCCAAUGUCAUGUUAAGAGGCAUCAAGAAAUGUCCAGUGACAAGAACAAGAGAAGAAUUCUCACAUCGAAGCAAAGUGAGACAAGGAAGUUCGAGGAGAAACCACCAGACGAGUUGAUAAAAAAAUACAAGUCUCUUCAACUGAUUGAAAAAUUCAUACAACAACACAAGAUGAAUCUAUUAAUUGGUAAGCAGAUGCUAGCUGGAAGCGUUGGAAGAGAAAUGCGAGGGAUGCUUUCCCACACGAGAGCAUGACGCAGCAGAUUAAAAUGGUGAAGAGCUUGCCCAAAGAACAACGUGAAAGCAUUCCUUUUGCUGUUUUCAAAUUUUCUUCCUGUAAAACCAACCUGACAAGGGAGUAUUCAAGUUUUGUCCUUCAUCGAAUAGUCAAACAUGUAGGUACAAUUUUAGAAAUAUAUUUCGAAUUAUCUCAAAAUACCUUGAAAAUAAAGCAUGUUAAGUCUCAACCUCCUCUUUUUUCAAUGUUUGCUGCUCGAAUAAAUGUUAGUUUUUCUUCCGAACAAACUAUAAUACGUUGAAAAUAUAUGCGAAUUAAGUUAAAUCAAAUAAUUUAUUCAAAAAGUACUCGUAUUAAAUUUUUAAUUUAAAGAUUAAUGAUAUUGUGACUAAUAAUCGAGAAGGAUUUUAUACUAUUUAGCCCAACGCAAACGCAAGAGUAGACAUAUAACUUGGAGUUAUUAGGUAAUUUUCAUUUUCAAACACGAAAGGCUCCCUGCUCGAGUACUGUUUUAAAAGACACCCCAUCUUGUGAUUCAAAAGCAAACAAAAGAAUCCAUUAAGGGAAAAAGAAAAGCAGCUCCCCUUGGAAUUACAUGACUCCUUGGAUAUACUUCGAACAUCCAACGAUACCACUUCCAGACACGGAGAUGUUUGGUGGAUGUCGGACUCAUCGUGACUUAACCAGAUGAUACAUGUAGUGUGUAAUUGUCGUCUCGAGAUAAAAACAAAAGGUCAAGAUCGAGGCAAUAUUUUUUUUUGUUUUUUCUAUUUUUUUUAAAUAAAAAUUCACUAUAAAUCUUUUUCAUAUACAAAUUUAUUUUAGAUUUCUUUCCUUUUACUUUCAAUCAAAUAAGUGUUAUCCUUUUUCUUUGAAAAGUCGCUUAUGUCUUGGAUACUACUUGAACACAAUUUCAAAGUGAUUUUUUAGUAUUCUUUGAGAAAAUAGAUAAAAAUAGAAAAGACAAAUACAUGUUUGGUUUGCUUUGUUUCAAUUUUUUUUUUAAGUGCUAAGGUAGUAACCAAAUGUUAUUCUUGGAUUAAGGGAUUUCAUGAGGUUUUAUAAUUGCAAAGAAAGCUUGUUUGAUGGUUUGGAAAAAAUUAUAUAAUUACAUUUUUUACAAAGACACAUGCAAAAGAUAUUAAUAGUAAUUCUUAUUUUAAUGAAAGAGAUUAAUGGAUAAAAUUGGUUCUUGGUUCUGUGUUUUGGUUUUUUUUUACCUCACUUAUAAAGGUAGUGUUUAAGAGUGCUAUAAUUUUUUUUUAAUUAUAUUUUAAAAAUACAUUUCACAUUAAAAAACAUCAAAUUAAUUUAUAUUUGAUAUUUUUUAGUCCAAAGUAUUCUGCAUCAUAGUAACAACCAGUUAUUCCUGGCCGGACACCGAAUAUGAAAAAUGAUUCUUUUUUAAAUAUGGUAUGGUUUUUUUUUUUUGGUUAGAAAAAACUCAAUUUCCACGAUUUUGCACAAUUCAUUUUAGAUUUGACAACAAACAAAGAAGGAAAAUAUAUAAAAGAAUAAUAUAAAUCAUAUCUUAAACCUUACCUAACAGCUUAAAUUUUUUGGUUGAAAUUAUUUUUUGACAUGAUAUCAAAACCUUGAUGACCAAGCGGUCUAGAGUUUAAAUCUCAUUAUCCUAAUUUAUUUAAUAAAAAUUAAGUAAAUGGUAAUGUGAACCUGUGUAAGUUUCAAGCUUAAAAGGAUUUCACUUAAUGAUGUGUGUUAAAGAAUAAUAUAACUCAUUUCUAAAAACCUCACUUAACAAUUUAAACUUUUGAAUUGAGAUGGUUCUUUGACAGAACAUGCAUUUUGUUUAUCAUUUUGAAUAUAAAAAACAACCUGACAACUUGAAAUUAUUUUUUGAAUAAUUAGAAACAUUUUAAAACAACUUUAUACAUUAAUAAAAAUGAAAAGAAAAGAAAUAAUUUUAAGAAUGUACAACUCUGGAAAUAAAAAAGAGGAGCCAACCUUUUUUACCACUAUACCUGAACCAUUGAAAACAUAUAUUAUAUUAAAUAUCAAUCCAAAAAUUUCUCACCACCUACCAUUCUUGAAUUAUAUAGAAGACUCCCAUUAAAUAUCUAGUCAUUCUUAUCAACUCAAGGUAGGAAAUAUCUUAUCUCCAGAAUUACUAGUAGGCUAGCAAAAUAAAAAUAAAACUACAGUACUCUGGAAUUGUCUUAGAUUAUAGGGGUGUGCAGGGGAGAAGUGUCCAGGUGCAAGAAGUGCAGGGGAGAAGUGUCCAGGUGCAAGAAGUGCAGGUGUAAGAGUGCACGCGCGCGCGCGCGAGUGGCGAGAAAAAAAGAGUUUGGUGGUGUGAGGAAUAUUAAUAAAAGAAGCGUGAAUUGUGAAUCAGUGCGAAACAUCAUUAAUCAUGAUCAUUAUUGUCCUAAAAAUUCAACAAGUAUUAUCAGAGUUAUUGCCUAUAAUUCAUGCCCAAUAAUUAAUACCAGGGCUUAUCGAUCAACGAAAUAUCAAAACUGGUGGUCAGAGACUACGAUAAAGUAGCUAGCACAAGUGUUUACUCGAUUGUGAAGUUUAGAGGUCAGGGACCUAUCAGAGCUUGCGGUUUGGGAUCAUCUUUUUAUUUUGCCGAUUGGAGAUCAUAACUAUUGAGGAAUCAUUAGAAGAGGCUCUGCUUUUUUGGGAUCGUUUUUUUUAUUCUUAUACAUUAAUGUAAAUUAAAUAAUCUUAAGACGGGACCAAAUCGAGGAGCAAUCCUUUUUUACCACUAUAUCUAAACCAUUAAUCAGAAUCAUGAGUAACAAAAAACACAUUUAUUAAUCUUGCCAAAAUACAUAUUAUUAAUAUUGCCAACCAUUAAAAUUGGGUGAAUUUUUAUGCGAACAAUCCACCUCUCCCUCGUAGCUCUUAUUUUUCAACACUACCAGGCAGCAAGUUAUCGACAUGCAGCGGCUAAUUAUACAAGCAAAAUGGAAAACAAACUUCUUCAAUUAGGGAUGACCUUCUGGGAUCUCAUCUUACCAAUCCAGUGCACAAAUGAUUUGGUGGAAUUCCUAAACCCCAAGAAUCCAUGUUCCUUGCUCUUAUUCAUGCACGAUAUAAAGGCAUCACCACUAAGCAUGGUGUCCACAUACCACCAGCCCCCAACCUCCUCUAACUUCGUAGGAAACAACUGGUUCUUCUUCACGAUCUCCUCCCACACUGGCCCUUUAUCUUUCAUCCUCUCGGCCAAGGUCGCUCUUUUCCCCCCCUCUUCGAACCCGUACUUUUCUAUCCCGAACUGCUCGGCCAGGACUUUCCAUAAAUGCUUCCACUUGAAGUAAUCUGCGUUGUGGAUAUUGAACGCUUGGUUUUGAGCAUUAGGCUCCACACAUGCCCAGAUCUCCUGCUCUGCCACCAGAUCGGCAUCUGAUGCGAUCGCGUAACAGUUCCACGCCUCUUUAGUACCUGGAAACAUCAACGGAGCUCCCUCGUGCUUGCAUAUAGCAGCAUAAACAGAAAGAGUUACAAUUAUAUUCAUCAAGCUAUGGGGCGAGAAGCCAAAUAUGAUAUCAGGACGGUGAACAGACCAAGUCACUCCCUCUUUCUUUGCCACUUCCUCGAACAUAACAUCUUCCAAAGUGUAGUAAAAAUUGUCUACCUUUAAUCUCGGCAGAUCCUCCGAGUAAGGAGGAUCAUGGGAUUCGAAAUUGUAAAAUGACUCGAAAGGGCCAAUGUAAUGCUUGGUUCCGGUUUGGAGACUCACGUGGCGGAGAUUAGUGGCGAUGGGGACAACAGCCUGAAGAAGGUUUCGGAACAUGAGGCCGUUGAUCUUGCAGUUCUCUGCUUCGUUGGAUCGGCUGGCCCAGGUGACAUAAAAAAUGUGAGUAACAUCAGUGAGAUGAGAAAGCUUUGAUUUUGCUAGCGCCGAGUCUGAGAUGUCACACUGGAUGUACUCAACUGGGCAGUUCUCAUGCCAGUUUGGACGAGGACGACGGGCCACUCCAUAAACUUUCCAUGGACCGCCUGGUGUGUCGGAUCGUGGGAGGAUUUCUGCCAAGCUGUUGCCGACAAUUCCCGUUACUCCUACUAUCAAGGCCACGCUUCCUUGGCCCCCUUGAACUGCCGGUUUCUUCUGCAAAAUGAGCCAUGGCAGGAGAAACAAAUGAGGUCACAAAAUUAUAAUAAUUAACCAGGUAUAUCUAAUUAAAUAUGAUCUUUUUUACCCAGGCAGCGCUAAGAUCACCAGCCCACCACCAGCUCAUUUUGUUUUGGAAGAUUGCAGCAGAGGAAGAUAGGAAAUGGAGAAGACAGUAAAGACAGCUACUGGGAGUGUAAGAGCAAGUGAAAGUAGUAACCAACAACCUGUGGCUUGGAUCUUCCAAGUUCUCGCAUUAAUAAGAACUGCUUUGCUUUUGGUGGUGUCGACGUGUCGUGUUUCUUUAAAAAACAAAUUUUAAAUUGAAUUUGUUUUUAAAAUUAAUAUUUUUUUUUAUGUUUUAAAAUUAUUUUAAUAUAUUAAAAUUAAAAUUAAUUUUUAAAAAAUAUAAUCACUUUAAAAAAACAAAUAUUAUUACAUUUUCAUACACCCACUCUCCAAUAAUGACUCUUCUAAAGUCAUCUCAAAUAAUUGCUCUUCUAAAGUCGUUGUGCUGAAAUGCCGACGUGGCAUGAAAUCAAAAGUUAGAUAAAGUAAGGAUGAGAUCAGUUACCUGAUUCUCCUUUAUAAUACGUUUUUUCUCUCUAAAGAAUAGCAAUUUUUUCCAAUUUAUUUAUUGUUAUUUCUUAUAUAAAUAGUUAAUUUCUUUAUGGAGACAAGUUAUGUAAUACUUAUCUUUUUUAUAAUUUUUUUAUUACAUAAAUUCUUAAUAACAUAUUUUUAUCGGUUUCAUCUUGCGUUUUCUCGUUGUUUAUAACAGUACUCACGCACCAUAACCAUUAUUUUCUUUUACUUGUCACAUGUGGUAUUGCAACCUAUAAUUUUCAGGAAUUUUUUUUUUUAAUUUGCGUUAUUUUAAAGGACAACUAGGGAAAUUUUCAUGCUGUUAGGGAAGUAAUUAGUACCGUACAAAUAGUUAUUUUUUUGGAAUUUAAAAUAUAAAAUUCAUAACUCCUAAAAAAUAAUAAAAAUAUUUCUAUUCAAUAUUUUUCUUUUAAUUGUAUCUCUGUUUCUUUUAAUUUUAUUUCAAUAAAUAACUAAUAAAAUGUUACUAAAUAAUUCACAGUCACUAUAAACCAAUUAGUAACUGAGUUUGAUAAUAUCUGCCGCUUCUUUAGUUCUUACUGUGAGAUUGACAAUAUUUAUAUAAUAUUUAUUAUUGAUAGAAUAAAAUGAUUUAAAUAAAGAAAAAGAAAACUGAUUCCAAUCUUUCUGUCACGUGUUUUGUGCAGUCGUCCUGGAAAAUGAUGGUACCCUUCCCCACCAUUUCCAUUUCCACUAACCUUGAGAAAUGCCGUGCUACAUUAUUACUUGAUUUUUUUCAUAAAAUAUUUUUUAUAUUAAUUUUAUUUUUUAAAUUUUCAACUAGGUAUUUUUAUACGUAAUCUUGUUUAAAUUUUGUUUCUCUUUCUUAAAAAAAACAUUGUUCUGUGAGGUAUUUAAUGUUUCAUGCAAGUAAUUUUAAUAUAAGUUCUUAAUUAAGAAAUCAAAAUAGUAUGAGAGUAAAAUUAAUAUUAAAAAUAUUUUAAAUAUAUAGCUAAAAUUACCUCAACAAUUUAAACAUAUAAAUUUAAAAUUUUCUUUUAUGAUUAUAGAAACCUCAACAAUUAUAAUUUAAUAAAUACUUUGUUACCUUAAAAAUCAAAUAAUACCACUCUUAUACUAAUAAUAAAAGUGGUGACCCAGUGAUAAAAGUUUGGGACCAAGAGGUUUGCUCCCUCUGUGGUCUCAGGUUCGAGCCUUGUGGUUGCUCAUAUGAUGGUCACUGGAGGCUUACAUGGUCGUUAACUUCAGGACCCGUGGGAUUAGUCGAGGUACAUGCAAGCUGGUCCGGAUAUCCACGUUAGACUUAAAAUAAAAAAAAAACUUGAGUUACUAAAAAAAGAAUUUUGAAAAGAGCACACAAACAUGCUUUUGUCCGCUUGACCGCAUUUAAUCCAUGCAAUCCUGAAAACCAAUCGUUUCGCCACGUCAAGCCUUAUCUUAAUUCUCUCAAAUUUGAUCACUCUUUGCGUGUUAAGUACAAGACAAAGAUGAAUGGGGAGCCUACUUUUCAGAAUGUGGAACAAUACGGUAUCUGUCAUGUACCAUCCAUGAUGGCUUUAGUUGACCGGUCUUCGUUGCAUUGGAAAUUUCCGGAAAUUUGAUGUUACUACGUGGAUUGAUAUUGAUGAGUUGCCUAGUGUUGCUAAGUUGGAAGGUUAAUUGUAUCAUUAUAUUUGGGUUUUUUAUUUAUUAAUAUGGGUGUAUGGGUCAUUUUGGACGUAUCUUGACUAAUCUCACGGGCCCUGAAGUUAACGACCUUGUAAGUUUCUAGUAGCCCUAAAGUUUGUGGGACUCCAACUUGUGACCUUUAAGAAGGAAAUUCAAGAUCUGACUAAUUGAGCUACAUCUCUCAGGGUUAUUGUUUACUUGCUUUUGAUGGUUGAGUUUGUUGUUGUAUUUAGCUAUUAAAAAAUCAAACUUGUAGAACUAAAAUCCAAAGUUUUAAAAGUUUAGGAGUGUUAUAAGCUUUUAAGUUUUUUUAAGAGUCUAUUUGUCUUUAAAAAAUAUUAAAUUAAUUUUUUAAAAAAAAUAAAUAAUUUUGACGUGUUGGUGUCAGAAAAAAAACAUGAAAAAAAUAUUUUAAUAUAUUUUUAAAUAAUAAUCACUUUUGAAAAAUAACAUAUAACACACAUACAUACAUCGUAAUACCAACCUCAAACUAAAAAUUUUAUAGUUGGCAACACCAAAGAUGUAAUGUUGCUAUGCCUCUUAUAUUGCUACUUACACAUUAUAAUUUACAACUUGUUAAUUCAACGCAUGUUUCGCUUUGUGAUGAGUUAUAAUUUUUUUUGUCAAAAACAAUAUCGGGUAUGCAUGUAAUUUUAAUGUCUUUUUAUAUGAAAAAAUCAAAGUGUAAAUCAAAAAACCCAUGCAAACAAGAUCUAGGUAAAAACUCAAAGGAUGUUGGGUCUAGUAGUCUUGUCAGACUCAUGUAUAUUUGGACUGAGCGCUUAGCUAAGUCCGUGUAUGUUUGGACUCAACACUUGACUAAGUUUAAGUAUGUUGGGUCUGCCAGCUCCGUCAUACUCAUAAAUGCUUGGGCUCAAUGCUUGGCUGAGCGUUUAAGAUUUGUUUGGGCCAUCACCUGGCCCCUAGUUCUUCUCAAUGAGGAUUUAGGUUAAAAAUAACAUAUUGAAAAAUAUUAACCCAUCAAUUACCCCGAGUCUGUGUGUGUUUAAUAUGCAAAGAUUUUAAAGGUCAAGAUCUGUUUGUCCCACAUAUAAUUUAUCAUUUUCAAGGUAAAUUGUGCAAUCGCACUAGAAAAAUUAAGUCUAUUCCAUCCUUGGAAGGUUGUGAGGCUGUUAGGGUCAUCCAGAGAAGAAAUGAAAAUUGUUAUUUUGAAUAAUUCAUGCAUGUAUAAAAAAAACGUACAUUUUUUAUUUUCAUUAGCUUAUUGGCCAUGGUAAUUUUCAUUUGACUAGAGUGCUAGAUGUGAAAAUGACUUUUUAUUUUCCUUUUUAUAGUUGCUAAAAUUAUUUCACAUAUUGUAUGAUUUGAAUUACCAUCCCACUUUUACUUGUUAGAGGCUUUUCAAAACCUCGAGGCCCCAACUGUAUUUUGUAAAGUUGGCAAACACAUAAUCCAGAUUUGCUUGUCUUACCAAGUCUAUAGGUAAGUAGAAAAAAUCAUGCUCUAACUUAGGACAAUCAAAUUACUAUGUAGCAUUCUCUGCUCCAUAUUAAAAAGUGUUAAAGCUUUGAUGGAGCAGAUAUGACAGUGAUUAUAAGGAGGUCUAUAACGCGUCCCUUUCUAGAAGUGUCGUGAUUAUCUACAUUGGAUAAUGAUUGGGAGUGUCAAUAACAAGUUCUAAAAGAACAUUUGAUGGCUUUUUAAACAUUUUUUCACAUACUGUGCCAAUGAUGAUGUUGGAAAAAUUCAAGUAACUUGAGAGCAAGGCUUUUUGCGUUGGAUAAAUGAAUAAUCUUUUGAUUCUAGGAGUUGGAUUCUUCUAGGAGUUGGAUUCACUCUCCCUAGUAGAAGCGGACGAUAUCAAAUACCAAGAGUUUUGAUAACUAAAGUGGCUAAUGAUUGAUACUUGUAAAAAAGUCCCCUUUCCUUGGAUUUGGAGACUUUCUAAUGCUUAAGUAAUUAUAUUUUUAGAGAGAAAAAUGAUGAGGCGCAAGAUAUUUUUCGAAGAAGAUCUUGUAGAGAGAGAGACUCCCAAAAUAAGUAUCCAGAAAAUAUUAAAAACUUGGAGAUAUUACCCCUUUUUGCGUAUACCUCACCUUUUAUAUGGUUCGUCAUUCCUAUUCUUUUAUGGAGAGAAGGGCUUAAAUGUCAUAUUUUUUUAAUAGCAUCAAAUAUAUAUAACUUUAUUAGAAGGAAAAUAUCUCUGACUUUAUUGGAGGGAAAAUCAAUGAUUGGCAGAGCUAAAAGAUGUUGGGUCUAACAUUUUUUGUGAGAUCCACAUAAUCCUGGGUUUAGUGCUUAGUGCUUGGUUGAGCACAAAGAUGCUCAGUCUAGUAGCUUUGGUAAACUCAUAUAUGUUUGGGCUCACCGUUUGGCUGAGUCCAAGAAUACUGGGUCUGUUAGUCUUACCAUACCCAUAUAUGUUUAGGCUCAGGAUUUUGGGUUUGGUAGCCUAGCUAGCCUCAUGUAUAUUUGAGCUCAACGCUUAACUAAGUCUAAAAAUAUCGAGUGUAACAACUUUGUCGGACUCAUAUAUGCUUAGACUCAGCACUUGGCUGAGCUCAAGGUUUGUUUAGGUCAUAUUGUUAUGUGUGUUUUAUGUACUUAUUGUAUUAAAAAAAUUAAAUGUUUUAAUAACAUAUAUAUAUAUAUAUAUAUAUAUAUAUAUAUAUAUAUAUAUAUAUAUAUAUAUAUAUAUAUCAAGUUAGGUUCAAAUGAAUUUUGGAUCGAGUUUCACAAAAUUUAUACAAUAUCUACUAUUUAUUGGAUAAAAUGAUCAUAAAAAAUAAUAUUCACUGGUUUAGAUUGGACCGGGUCAGGUCGGUGCAUGAGUUUGGAUUAAAUUGGCAUCCUAACAACAUCAUGUUUAAGCCACGUUAUUGCUGCAAUAUAGCUCGAUUUUUUUAUAUAAAACACUUUUUAUAUUAAUUUUAUUUUAAAAUUUUCAACUACGUAUUUUUAUUUGUAUUUUUGUUUAAAAUUUAUUUCUCUUAUAAAAAAACAGCAUUGUUUUAUAAGGUAUUUAAUGUUUUAUGUCAAGUAAUUUUAAUAUAAAUUAUUAGUUAAAAAAUCAAAAUAAUAUGAAAUUAAAAUUGAUAUAAAAAAUAUUUUAAAUAUAUAACUAAAACAAAUCAAUAAUAUAAAUAUAUAUUUAAAAAUUCCUCUGAUAAUUAUAGUAUUUUCAAGUUUGAGUUAUUAAUUUACUGAUUAAGUGUACUUUAAUAAUUUGUUUUAUUAGUCAAUAAUUUAAUUAAUUACAUCAUAAUUGUGUUAAAUAUUAAUUGUAUGUCAUAAUUGUAAUUUAAUAAAUACUUUGUUACCUUAAAAAAUAAAAUAAAUACCACUACCAAUACUAAUAAUAAAAGUGAAUUCAAACCAUCUAGGUGAUGGCACAGUGGUAAGAGCUUGAGACCAAAAGGUUUGCUCCCUCUGUGGUCUCAGGUUUAAGCUCUGUGAUUGCUCAUAUGAUGAUCACUGGAGGCUUAUAUAGUCGUUAACUUCAAGUCCUAUAUGAUUAGUUGAGGUACGCACAAGCUGGCCCGGACACCUACAUUAAACUGAAAAAAAAAAAAAGUGAAUUCGAGAAAAGAGUUUCGAAAAAAGAAUUUUGAAAAAAACACAAACACAUGCUUUUGUCCGCGUGAUCGCAUUUAAUCAUGCAAUCCUGAAAACCAAUCGUUUCGCCACGUCAACACCUUAUCUUCACGUUAUCUUUAUUCUCUCAAAUUUGAUCAUUCUAUGCGUGCUAACUAUAAUUUAAUUUAUGUAAUUUAAUAAAACUUAUUAAUUGAUCAUUAUCUUAUUCAUUUUUUUUUUAAUUUAAUGUUCGUUUUCAAUUUCUUUCCUUUUCGAAGAAAUAUAAAAAAGGAAACGAGAAGUAGAUAAAAGGAAAAAUAUGGGCAAGGAGAGGAGGUAUUUUUUUAACAAAAAAUAUUUAAUCAACCCAUGAUUAAUGCUGAUAAAAAACUGAGUUGUUAAACUUUAUAUUACAUGGAUUAAUUAAUUAUUUAUGAUAAGUUAUAAAGAUUAAGUCAUUACAAACUCCUCUUUCCCCUUGAAUUUUCUAUCACUAUAUGGUAUAAUGACUUAAUUGGUGACAAAAUGCAUUCAAAUCACAAGCUAAUUUUUUAUGCCGACGGCGUCGAGUAAUUUAACACACAUCUAGAAUUAAACUACAGACUAAUUUUACACAAAUCAUGAAUUAAGCUGCUGAAUUUUUAUUUUUUUUUUAUAAUCGUGAGUAUCAGAGUUAGCUUACGCAUACUUUGACUAAUCUCUCGAGAUCCUAAAAUUAACGACCAUAUAAAUCUCCAGUGGCUGAGAUUUAUAACACUUGAAUUAAUGAUUUUUAAAAAACAAAUUAAGAAUAUGACCAAUUAAGUUAUAUCUUCAGGAUAAUUAAACUGCUCAAAUUCUUGUUUUUAUUUGUUAGUGUUUUUACAUAUUUCUAAAAAUUAUAUUUAUUUUUAAAAAACAUAAAAAUUAUAUUUUAAUAUUUAAAGUAAAAUAUAUUUUUAAAAAAUAGUUUACAGAUGGAUCCAAGUGAAAUGAAUGAUUGGAAACAGGUUGAAAAUACUAAAAUAUCUUGGGAUAAUUUUUUAAUGAUUAAUAGAAUCUGAAAAAAAUCAAAUUACCCUUUGUUCCUUAUAACAAAGGCUUUUAUUUUUUUCCACCCAGAAAUAAAAUGAUAAUUUCACUCCACAGUAAAUCUUUUCUAGCACUACAACGAAAAAUCCAAGCCCUUGGCAGCAAGCAAGAUAAAAUCAACUAAAUUAUUAGGGUUUUACAGGGAGAUAGAAUUAGACCAGCUCCAAAUGCAAUUUGACUCGAUUACAAACAUAGUUGCCAAUGCGGUCUGGCAAUUUAACCAUGACUCAAAACUUGAUCCCGGGUUGAAUUUUAAUAAUCCAAUCAACUCGAAUAAACCCGAUAGAAUCAUUUACAAGACAGAAAAAAAUAAAAUAAAAUAACAGACACAUGUUUAUUCAAUGCCGGCGAGUUGAUUCGACAACCUAAUACAGCAGGGUUUUUUUAUCAAUUCCGAAUCAGGACGACAAUGUGAUUACAAUCCUUGAUACAGAACAAAAUGCCUCCAAUCUCCAAGUUUAUUCUCAAAAACAGAUAUAACACCACCCGUAUCAAGGCACAACCUUGUAAUCUUUCAUCUUGUCUAACCACGAAACAAAAGAUUUCUUGGAAUUUCGAAAUCCCAAAAAUCCAUGUUCCUUGGUCUUGUUCAAAUUCGUGACGAUACCCGGACCACCGAAUAUCAAAUCUGCAAACCACCAUCCUCCAACUUGCUCCAGCUUGUUUGGCAGUAGCUGAUUCUUCUUCACAAUUUCCUCCCACACUGGUUCCUUAUCUUUCAUCGCCUCGGUGAAUGUUAUACUACUCUCCCCCUCUUCAAAUCCAUGUUCUUCGAUCCCAUAUUCUUCUGCUAAAAUCCUCCACAAAUGCUUCCAUUUGAACAGAUCUCCGUUGUGGAUAUUAAAAGCUUCAUUUUGUGCAUUAGGAUCCACACACGCCCAAAUUUCAUGCUCUGCAAUCAGAUCUGCAUCAGAAGCAAUUGCGUAACCAUUCCAAGCCUCUUUUGUUCCACGAAAGAUUAAAGGAGCUCCCUCGUGCUUGCAUAUUGCAGCGUAAACAGAAAUAGUGACAAUCAAAUUCAUCAAGCUAUAAGGCGAAAACCCAAAGAUAACAUCAGGCCGGUGAACGGACCAAGUCACUCCUUCUUUCUUUGCCACUUCCUCGAACAUAACAUCUUCUAAAGUGUAAUAAAAGUUGGGAGCAUUUAAUCUGGGCAGAUCUUCCGUGAAAGGUGGAUCAUGAGCUUCAAUCUUGCCAUACAGCUCAAAAGGACCCACAUAUUGUUUCCCUCCUGUUUGGAGGCAGACAUGGCGGAGAUUGGGAGCGUUUGGUAUAACGGCCUGGAGGACGUUACGGAACAUGAGACCAUUAAUCUCGCAGUUCUCCUCCUCUGUGGGUUUACUGGCCCAGGUAACAUAGAAGAUGUGGGUCACAUCAGCCAGCUUAGAAAGCUUCGAUUGGGUUUCGGCGGUAUCGGAGAUGUCGCACUGGAUGUACUCCACCGGAUGAUCCUCGUUCCAGUUGGGGCGUGAACGUCGGGCCACGCCGUAAACUUUCCAUGGGCCACCAGGUGUGUCGGAGAGUGGGAGAAUCUCCGCCAAACUGUUGCCGACAAUCCCCGUAACUCCUAAAAUCAGGGCCACGCUUUGGUAACCUCGUGGUGCUUCAUCUUCUUCGGAUCUUUU
rnacentral:lncRNA from 1 species